rnacentral:lncRNA from 1 species
GUCGCAUGAAACAAAAUUGCCAUUCAUCUUAAACAAUCAACAUCUUUACAUGCAAAUGCCAUCAAAAGGACUUUUCCAAGGCUUGUAAUGAGGUUGGGCUAACAAGAAAGAAUUGGUUUUUCUAGAAUGCAAAAUCCUUGAGUUAAGAGAGCUAACAAAAUAUUCAACAAUUAAGCACAACUCUCUCACCAAUAUCUCUCAUUCCCAACUUCUUCCCUUUUCUUUUCUUUUUCAUUGAGCUCAUCUUCAUGCUUUUCUUCUUUUCUUUUCUUUUUCUCAUGAAUUUUUCUCUUUUCACAACAAUUGAGCUCAAUGUCUUUCACUUGCUUUUUCAAUUUUCCCCCGUACAACCCCAAACUUGAACCUUUUCAUCACAUACAAUUAAGCUCAUC